CAUCCAAGUGGGCGUUAGCUGCGCCGCGCCUAUUGUGUUUUAGUAUUCCAUGGACGCACACUAGCGUUCUCAGCGAUUGUGGAGCCACAACAUAUCUUCAUGCGGCGUUGCACUGUUCAAGAGCAGAAACGUCAGCAGUGACCCAUCAUCAUACAUGUAGAUUUGGAGUAUACACACCAUGCGCCAAUGGGCCUUGGCACAACAGCGGCAGCUCUACGGAGUGUUCAAGUGAGAAACAUUUGUUUCGACUUUUGGUGGACGAACAAAUCGUCGGUGCCGAAAAACGUGGCCUGCGCCGAUGGUGCUUGAAACAUCAAGCAUGGUAUGUGGUGACUGUCAGUGUUGAUCGAGGAAGGAGAACACUCAGGCCGUCGACCGUUCAUCCAUUUCGUUAGCUGCACCAAGUCUAUUGUGUCCUUGUAUUCCAUGGGCACACAAUCAUGAAGCAUGGCGUCUGAGCUGUGUUCACAGAGCGGGGAGAUGCUCUUGCUGCUACCUUAUCUGUCCUGUGUAUUCCCAAGUGCCGAAGGCUCACAACGAUGGUGUUGGAUAAGUCAGAUAAAAUAGAGUCAACAUCGUCACAAGGUGCUGUGACCAAGAUACGGAUCAUGCCGAUCAUGCUGAUUCAACUGGACGAAUCGCGAGGCUUUUCAGAUGCAGGGACACAAUGGAAACUGAAUGACUUCAGAACAGCACUGAAGCGUUAUGUUAUCAUGCAAGACGCCUUUCUGCGCCGCACAAACACAGGCAGUACUACAGCAGAAGAUGUCACUCACUAUUCUGCAGGUGCAUUGGUGACAGGCGCAUGCAAGUUCACCAGAAGGAAGCGGUCUGAUGGUAACUGGAAUGCCAGCAGUAUGAGAGGGUGUGCAUUCUGCGGCGGAUCUCACCUGGACAAGAGCUGCGCGAAAUACACAACAGUAGCACAGCGGAAAGAAUAACUGAUUGAACAGAAGCGUUGCUUUGUGUGUUUGCGCACAGGGCACCGGUCAACUCAGUGCAAGGCCACCCGCAAGUGUAAUGUGUGUUCUCGCAUGGGUCACCAAUCAGAGUCACCAUCAUGUCACGAUCUGCCCUGAAUCUCAACAGAAAUUUGACAGCAGUACCAACAUAGUAGCUGGCCAGCCUGUGGCUGACGAGGUACCAGCAUCUAGCGCAACAGCAGCUAGUGCAGCAUCAACCAGUAUCGCCAUUGACCGUAAGAUAGUCAGUCGUCUUGAUCGGUGCAGAUUUCCUCUGGGAGUCUUGACGGGGAGCACCAGAGGACUUCCGCCAGGGCUACAGUUUCUGCCUACCACAGUCGGUUUUGUGGUGACUGGCCGAACACGUCACUCCAAGCACUCAGCUACGCCGAUGAGCAGCCAUGCCAGCUAUCGUUUCUCUAACUGAUGCAACUUCCGACUCCUGCACCAUCCCAGAUCUGUGGGACCUAGACUGUGUUGACAUCCAGGAUUCAGGCAAUCUUACUAACAACGACCUAGCCAUUAGGUAAUUCAUCAUUGUUCUACGAUUUUGCCUGCCACCAAUCGUCAUGACCUGCGAUACUGAGAAGGCCAUUUUACAAAUCAGUGCCAACCCAGCAUACAGAGAUGCGACACGAUUUCUGUGGUUCGCCAACUCCGACAGUCCAUCAGUCACCCCAGCCAGCCUGUUCACGCUCAUAAGCAGUCCAUUUCUGCUUGGCGCGUCUAUACAGCAUCAUUUGGCACAGCAAGAUGACAAAACAGCUAGCAGUGGCUAUUGGUGAGAACAUUUUCUGCUGUGCCAUUGGAGUGUGCACGAUACACGAACCCUGCUCUUUUGUUGGCACCGCCUAUGUAACUUACUGCAUAGGGUGCAAGGUGACCGUUGUCGGUUUACAUGUACUCCAGUUAUUACACCGUGCAUGCACUGAGUCUGUGCUGCACUGUGCAUCCAUAGGUGUUCGUUUGCGGUAGCGCAAGGUGACACGCAAGGUUGAUGGAUUGUUUUGUCCGCUGCUAUUUGAAGCUCUCGGAGUCGGAAGCGUUACCUCUGUUUCCCCUGUUCCUCCCUGCGCGGAGUCUGUAGUUCUGGCUUGCAGUCGCUGUUACAUGCAUGUUGUCAGUUGCAUGUGUUUUGGUUUUCAGUUGUCUUUAUUUGUUUUGGUGUGGACGACAGUUCAAUAUUCUAGCAGUUGUUGCACUUCCUACAUUCCGUAGUUAUCUGCGGUUGGUGUUCGAGAGAGCAAACUGUGUUCUUCUCCAGAGUGGAGUAAACCAUUCGCUUGUGUCUGAGGAAAACCCUGUGUGUUGACGAAGAGGUUGACUUGGCUGUAGAGUGAAAGUACCACAUGGUCACAUGGUCCACAAAAUCUUAGAACUAACUUAGGGUCUUCUGGCGUAUGGUAUAAUUAUAUGAGCAGCAUGAGAGUGAAGUAAAAGACUAUUAGCUCAAACAUUCAGUCUUUCAAGAGUAGGUGUUUCAUCACGGAAUAGGUUCUGCAGUUCACUUACACACUGCAACAAUGGACCAGCAGUGUCCAGCAUACAAUAGAGUCAUGUGAAUAUGUACCGUAUGCAUACUCACAGCUGCAAGGCCAGCGCCCCGUGGCUGCUUGACUUCUCAAUCGAUAUAAAUAUUGACAACAGUAAGACUCUGUGAUCAAUCAGAGCUGUGCUUCGAAGUAGUCACAAAUGCCCCAUGAUCAGUCACAAAACAAAACUUGGCAACCAGUCACAGCUUCCACGGUGCGCCAAGACCAGUCACCAGAGAUGACCGUAGUAAAUCUGCAGGGAGUUUCAUAAUCUGUUCAUUGCAGAGUCCACUAUGCUAUGAUUCAAGAGGGGGGUAGCGUUCCUGCGGAUGCGGAAAACUUGGCUGGAACCCGAGUGUCACGUGAACCCUGAUUUUUAAGACUUAUUUGUUUUACGAUGAGCCUAUUAUACGCGAUACAGGCUCAGAACACACUUUUCGUCUAGUUGGCAUAUCAGGGAUAUAGGGCGGAGCAGCCCAUAUCCCCAAUUAUGACACGCGAGUAAUAGUGAAAUACGAUUGGCGUAUUGUGCUGGACUGACUGCGGUAAUGUAAAGCUAAAAUAAAGCAGUCAGUUUGCCCUUAGCAUGGCCUUGUCAUGAGGGUGCCACAUCCGUGGAAAGGCAA